CUGCUUGCAGCUUUACUAACUAGGAGCAUUUCCUGCAUAACUGUCCUUCAGGGCCUCAACCAAAUGAGGCUACAAUACCACAGCAUUCUAGUUUCAGCUCCGCAUAUUAUGCAGAAUCUUCUCCCUGCUGCAAAUUAUUGCAAACUGCCCCAUCUUACCUCUACUGGUUAAGUGCCACCAUGGGAUCUCACCAUCUUCAUUGUAACAAAAGAGUCCAUUCAAUGGCAGUGCCUCCUGCCUUUAUCCAAGGUCCAUCCACUUUUCAAAGAAGAUGGUGCUCUGCUCGCCAAUGUAUUUCUCAAUCUUGUGGUGAAGAGGAUGUUCUUUUGGAAUUCUGGGGAGUUGACACCAUGACUAUCAGGUUAGCAGGUAUAUGCAACAUACUGAAUCCACUCUUCCAGAACCAGAUGACUCACCCGUCAUUAUUAUAGUUUAUUAUCCCCCUACCAUUGUGAUAAGAUAUCUGAAGGGGCAAACGAAAUGAGCACGUCUCAGUUAUGUUUAAUAAUCAGAACCAUUACUGGCAUAAUGGAUUGGAUAUUUGAUGUUGGGACAGCAUUUGAAAAAGCCUAGAACAAAAUGUUUCUGGAGGCUGGAAGUCCAAGAUCAAGGUGUUGGAAAAUUAGAUUUCUCCUGAGGCCUCUCUCCUUGGCUUGCAGAUGGCCACCUCCUCGAUGUGUCCUCCCAUGACCUUUUCUCUGUGUGCAUAAAUCUCUGGAAUCUCUUUCUCUUCUUAUAAAGACCAUAGUCAUAUUGGAUUAGUAGCCCACCCUUAUGACCUCAUUUAAACUAAUCACCUCUUCAAAGGCUCUGCCUCCGAAUACGGUUACAUUGGGGGAUUAGGGCUUCAAU
rnacentral:lncRNA from 1 species